AUCUGGGCGGCGGAAUUCAGGAUGGCUGACGUGCCUUCGCGGUGCGUCGGUCGUUUGAUAUUUCCGUCGCCAACAACGCAGACGUCGCGGCCUGUUCGCGGUCGGUCCCUGCUCGGAGGAGCCGCGUUCGAGCUCGUUGUGUGCGCGUUUCGGCGUGUCACACGGCGAAGGCGCGGAUCUCUGGCUGGCCGUCGGACAGUAUGCUUAACGGUGUCCGGUGUCGUCGUUUCGUACGCGCGGCAUCGGUACCGGUCAGCGACGAAUUCUUCGGGCCUCUUUCCGACCCGUCUUGAAACACGGACCAAGGAGUCUAACAUGCGCGCGAGUCGCGGGGUAUCGAGCGUACUUCGGUGCGUUCGUUAUGUUGCGAAACCCGUACAUGUCGAAGGCGUAAUGAAAGUGAAUGGGGAAGAUGGUGUUCCGAGUUCACGUUCCGCGAUCAUCGGUAUCGCGGCCGGACGCCCGCAUUCCCGGGGCGUCUCAACGGCCCGUCGCUGAUGCGGACUGUCGUCCUUCGGGGCGGCUGUCGGUCGGCGACGAACCGA
rnacentral:rRNA from 1 species